GGACGAACGCUGGCGGCGUGCUUAACACAUGCAAGUCGAACGGUGACGAUCAAGCUUGCUUGGUCUGAUCAGUGGCGAACGGGUGAGUAACACGUGAGUAACCUGCCCCAGACUCUGGGAUAACCCCGGGAAACCGGAGCUAAUACCGGAUAUGACRCGCCCCUGCAUGGGGAGUGUGUGGAAAGUUUUUCGGUCUGGGAUGGACUCGCGGCCUAUCAGCUUGUUGGUGAGGUAAUGGCUCACCAAGGCGACGACGGGUAGCCGGCCUGAGAGGGCGACCGGCCACACUGGGACUGAGACACGGCCCAGACUCCUACGGGAGGCAGCAGUGGGGAAUAUUGCACAAUGGGCGAAAGCCUGAUGCAGCGACGCCGCGUGAGGGAUGACGGCCUUCGGGUUGUAAACCUCUUUCAGCAGGGAAGAAGCGCAAGUGACGGUACCUGCAGAAGAAGCACCGGCUAACUACGU
rnacentral:rRNA from 1 species